AUACGGAGGAUCCGAGCGUUAUCCGGAUUUAUUGGGUUUAAAGGGUGCGUAGGCGGCCUUUUAAGUCAGCGGUGAAAGUCUGUGGCUCAACCAUAGAAUUGCCGUUGAAACUGGGAGGCUUGAGUAUGUUUGAGGCAGGCGGAAUGCGGGGUGUAGCGGUGAAAUGCUUAGAUAUCACGCAGAACCCCGAUGGCGAAGGCAGCCGGCCAAGCCAUGACUGACGCUGAUGCACGAAAGCGUGGGGAUCAAACAGGAUUAGAUACCCUGGUAGUCCACGCAGUAAACGAUGAUCACUAGCUGUUUGCGAUACACUGUAAGCGGCACAGCGAAAGCGUUAAGUGAUCCACCUGGGGAGUACGCCGGCAACGGUGAAACUCAAAGGAAUUGACGGGG
rnacentral:rRNA from 1 species